GGAGAGUUGGCAGAGUGGACGAAUGCGGCGGAUUCGAAAUCCGUUGUAGUGCAAGCUACCGGGGGUUCGAAUCCCUCACUCUCCG
rnacentral:tRNA from 1 species